AUUGAACGCUGGCGGCAGGCUUAACACAUGCAAGUCGAGCGGGGUGAUGGUGCUUGCACUAUCACUUAGCGGCGGACGGGUGAGUAAUGCUUAGGAAUCUGCCUAUUAGUGGGGGACAACAUCUCGAAAGGGAUGCUAAUACCGCAUACGUCCUACGGGAGAAAGCAGGGGAUCACUUGUGACCUUGCGCUAAUAGAUGAGCCUAAGUCGGAUUAGCUAGUUGGUGGGGUAAAGGCCUACCAAGGCGACGAUCUGUAGCGGGUCUGAGAGGAUGAUCCGCUACACUGGGACUGAGACACGGCCCAGACUCCUACGGGAGGCAGCAGUAGGGAAUAUUGGACAAUGGGGGGAACCCUGAUCCAGCCAUGCCGCGUGUGUGAAGAAGGCCUUAUGGUUGUAAAGCACUUUAAGCGAGGAGGAGGCUCUUUUGGUUAAUACCCAAGAUGAGUGGACGUUACUCGCAGAAUAAGCACCGGCUAACUCUGUGCCAGCAGCCGCGGUAA
rnacentral:rRNA from 1 species